rnacentral:rRNA from 1 species
CAAUAGCGUAUAUUAAAGUUGUUGCAGUUAAAAAGCUCGUAGUUGGAUUUCUGGCCGAGUGUCCCUAGGCCAGCAUGACGUUUGGUCCUAGGCGCUCUGCCAUCCUUCUGUCAACCUUCGCCUUCUUCAUUGGGGGCGCUGGGGCUCAGAUAUUUUACUUUGAGGAAAUUAGAGUGUUCAAAGCAGGCCAACGCAUUGAAUACAUUAGCAUGGAAUAAUGGAAUAGGACUUUGGUCUUAUUUUGUUGGUUUCUAAGGCCGAGGUAAUGAUUAAUAGGGAUAGUUGGGGGUGCUAGUAUUCAGCGGCCAGAGGUGAAAUUCUUGGAUUCGCUGAAGACUAACUUAUGCGAAAGCAUUCACCAAGGAUGUCUUCUUUAAUCAAGAACGAAAGUUGGGGGAUCGAAGACGAUCAGAUACCAU